UAAGGAAUAUUGGUCAAUGGACGCAAGUCUGAACCAGCCAUGCCGCGUGGAGGAUGAAGGUCCUCUGGAUUGUAAACUUCUUUUAUUUGGGAAGAAAUGUGAGAAUUCUUUCUCAUUUGACGGUACCAGAUGAAUAAGCACCGGCUAACUCCGUGCCAGCAGCCGCGGUAAUACGGAGGGUGCAAGCGUUAUCCGGAUUUACUGGGUUUAAAGGGUGCGUAGGCGGGCAGGUAAGUCAGUGGUGAAAUCCUCAAGCUUAACUUGAGAACUGCCAUUGAUACUAUUUGUCUUGAAUAUCUUGGAGGUGAGCAGAAUAUGUCAUGUAGCGGUGAAAUGCUUAGAUAUGACAUAGAAUACCAAUUGCGAAGGCAGCUCACUACACGAUUAUUGACGCUGAGGCACGAAAGCGUGGGGAUCAAACAGGAUUAGAUACCCCCGUAGUCC
rnacentral:rRNA from 1 species